ACGCACGCUGGCGGCGUGCUUAACACAUGCCAGUCGUACGGUAAGGCCCUUUCGGGGGUACACGAGUGGCGAACGGGUGAGUAACACGUGAGUAACCUGCCCACAACUUUGGGAUAACGCUAGGAAACUGGUGCUAAUACUGGAUAUGAGCCCCUGCUGCAUGGUGGGGGUUGGAAAGCUCCGGCGGUUGUGGAUGGACUCGCGGCCUAUCAGCUUGUUGGUGGGGUAGUGGCCUACCAAGGCGGCGACGGGUAGCCGGCCUGAGAGGGUGACCGGCCACAUUGGGACUGAGAUACGGCCCAGACGCCGACGGGAGGCAGCAGUGGGGAAUAUUGCACAAUGGGCGCAAGCCUGGUGCAGCAACGCCGCGUGCGGGAUGACGGCCUUCGGGUUGUAAACCGCUUUCAGCAGGGACGAAGCUUUUUGUGACGGUACCUGCAGAAGAAGCACCGGCUAACUACGUG
rnacentral:rRNA from 1 species